rnacentral:lncRNA from 1 species
UCUUGAUUUUCACCACUCGCGGGGUAAUAUUUCCACCCAAAAUCUAGCAACGAUCCCGUCCAUGAAAACAGCUGAAAAUCUCCCCUUUGAAAGAACACGUCCAGGAGGCUUUCCAUCCCUUAACUAAGCUUGUGCCCGCUUUGCCUACCCCCCCUGGCGAUGUGGGGCAGGGCGCAUCCGCCGGCGACCACUUGGCCUGAUUUCCCGGCCCCCGGGAGGACUUCUGAACCAGGAUUUGUGACGUGCCGCUAGGAGAAGGGGCACAUGAUGGGGAGGGGAACUCUCCGAGCACAUUCCCCAAACUGCAAAUCUGCCCAGGGACGGCUGGGCGCCUGGGUUGAGGAGAAGGGCCCGCAGUCUUAUUGGUCUCUGCAGACAGAAGCGAGGGGGAAGAACUCAUCACGAGUUACAAGGGCGGAAAACAGCCGCCCCAGGUCUCCCCACAGCUCCCCGGACGCCCCGCGCUAGGCCUCGGGCCCCAACGCCUGGGAAUGGUCGGCGGUGCUUGGGCCCCGCCCGGGGGCGAGGGGCAGCGGCCCGGCCCCAGGCCUCAUCUCCGCACCGGGAGCUCGGGCUCACACUGUAGAAUGAAGUGCCCUGUAGAAUAUUCGAUCCCCACGGCCAGCUAGGGACCCCGCCACAGUGGAGCGCCUCGCCACCUCCAUCCGCCCUCCUGUGGUCCGGGACUAGGUGCAGUUACAGGACCCGCCUAAGAAGAGCACUAGAAGGACGCAGUGGGUGGAUGUCCGAGUUCGAGCGGCUGGAUGUCGCGCGGUGGCAACAAGUAGCUCGGAAAAGGGGUAUUGAGAGUCCACUGCGAGCUGCUUCCUGCUUGCGGCCAAUGGGGACGUGCGGCAGAGCAGUUAGAAACAAGAAGGGAGAAGACUAAAGAGAGACUCCUUACUUCUGGCAACGAGAUACACAAAAGGGGUUGCGAACAUCCAAAAGGGUCUUGCUCCAGGUAGCAAGUAUGAAUUCCUCCAUGACAUCUGGGCUACAAGAAAUGCCAAGCUUGGCCACUGCUCACAGUACCCGGGACUCAUAAGAAUCCAUGCAUGCCUUCUCCCAUCUAAGACAUGCGGGAUCCAUGCCAGGAAGAAUGAGGCACAUGCCAGAGGAUAUGGGGGCUGGGAGGAGGGCACUAACCCAGAGUGAUUUGAAAUGAGGUAGCAUUCAAUGGCCCCUGGCAAAAAAGAGAAAGAAGACGAGGGAGCUGAAAAAUGUCUUCAUGGA